rnacentral:rRNA from 1 species
ACGACUCUCGGCAACGGAUAUCUCGGCUCACGCAUCGAUGRAGAACGCAGCAAAAUGCGAUACUUGGUGUGAAUUGCAGAAUCCCGUGAACCAUCGAGUUUUUGAACGCAAGUUGCGCCCGAAGCCAUUUGGUUGAGGGCACGUCUGCCUGGGCGUCACGC